rnacentral:rRNA from 1 species
CCUACGGGCGGCAGCAGUGGGGAAUAUUGGACAAUGGGGGGAACCCUGAUCCAGCCAUGCCGCGUGUGUGAAGAAGGCCCUCGGGUUGUAAAGCACUUUCAGUGAGGAAGAACGCCUGGUGGUUAAUACCCAUCAGGAAAGACAUCACUCACAGAAGAAGCACCGGCUAACUCCGUGCCAGCAGCCGCGGUAAUACGGAGGGUGCGAGCGUUAAUCGGAAUUACUGGGCGUAAAGCGCGCGUAGGUGGCUUGAUAAGCCGGUUGUGAAAGCCCCGGGCUCAACCUGGGAACGGCAUCCGGAACUGUCAAGCUAGAGUGCAGGAGAGGAAGGUAGAAUUCCCGGUGUAGCGGUGAAAUGCGUAGAGAUCGGGAGGAAUACCAGUGGCGAAGGCGGCCUUCUGGACUGACACUGACGCUGAGGUGCGAAAGCGUGGGUAGCAAACAGGAUUAGAUACCCGGGUAGUC